rnacentral:rRNA from 1 species
GAUGAACGCUGGCGGCGUGCCUAACACAUGCAAGUCGAACGGAGAUUACGGACGGAAGUUUUCGGAUGGAAGACUGUAAUUCUUAGUGGCGGACGGGUGAGUAACGCGUGGGCAGCCUGCCCUAUACAGGGGGAUAGCAGCUGGAAACGGCUGGUAAGACCGCAUAAGUCGGUUAAAUCGCAUGAUUUGAUCGGGAAAUGAGCAAUCAGGUAUAGGAUGGGCCCGCGUCCGAUUAGCCAGUUGGCAGGGUAAAAGCCUACCAAAGCGACGAUCGGUAGCCGGACUGAGAGGUCGGACGGCCACAUUGGGACUGAGACACGGCCCAAACUCCUACGGGAGGCAGCAGUGGGGGAUAUUGCACAAUGGAGGAAACUCUGAUGCAGCGACGCCGCGUGAGUGAAGAAGUAUUUCGGUAUGUAAAGCUCUAUCAGCAGGGAAGAUGAUGACGGUACCUGACUAAGAAGCCCCGGCUAACUACGUG